GGCUGGUCCGAAGGUAGUGAGUUAUCUUGAUUGUUCACAGUCAGUUACAGAUCGAACUCCCUGUUCUACUCUUUCCUCCCUUCUCACUACUGCCCUUGAGUAGUCUUUU
rnacentral:Y_RNA from 1 species